GCACUGUAGUCUCCACAGGGAGGAAGCGGCGUGGCCAGCGCACUCUGGCCACGCUCACCUCGUUGGGGUUGGAAGGAAGCGUGGCCAGGCAGGGCCAGGGCAACCACCACCUCCCCAUCUCCGUUCUGUGCUCCGUGGCAGGAGAGGGAGCCGGUGAGGAUCGCAGCCACCUCUGCCCUGGGCCACAUGCUGAGCCGGGACGUGAAGUACAAGCUGGGAGCCACAAUGAAAAGGGAACUGUAUACAUUUCUGGUCCCGUUGCUGCUGAACAUGCAGGAGGAAAACAGCGAGGUGGUCAAGGCCUGUGGAGGGGCGCUUGCUGAAUGGGCAAAGCUGAUUGGCUGGGCGUCUCUGACCCACACCUUGCAGCACACCACCCUCGGUGACCGCCUCCAGGUGUUUAACAGGACACAUGCGCCUACCUGCAUCAGUUGCCUCUGAGGACCCUCCCCUGGCCCUGGUUCUCUGCAUGUGAACCUCAUGGCAUCCCGGUCCCUUCCUCAGAGGUUAGGGACAUCGUGUUGAGUUAUUGGAUGGCCAGAGGACAGAGGUCUUCCGGUGAGCAGGGCAGGAAGCCCUGCUCUUUUUCCUGUUUGUUGGCACUCAUGCGACUUAUGUGUCAAUUUAUUAAAUCAGAUCAUAAUGUUGAAUACACAGACUGUGUC
rnacentral:lncRNA from 1 species